ensembl:misc_RNA Metazoa_SRP Metazoan signal recognition particle RNA
ACAGUAGCAUGGUGCUUUGUAGUCCCAGCUACUCAGGAGGCUGAGAUAGGAGGAUCACUUGAAUCCAGGAGUUCUGGGCUGUAGUGCACUAUGCUGAUCAGGUGUCCAUACUAAGUUCAGCAUCAAUAUGGUGACCUCAGGGGAGGGGGAGGCACCAGGUUGCCUAAGGAGGGGUGAACCGGCACAGGUUGGAAAUGGACCAGGUCAAAACUCCCAGGCUGAUCAGUAGUAGGAUGGCGCCUGUGAAUAGCCAUGAUACUCCAUCCUUGGCAACAUAGCAAGACCCUGUCU